rnacentral:rRNA from 1 species
UACGUAGGGGGCAAGCGUUAUCCGGAUUUACUGGGUGUAAAGGGAGCGUAGGCGGCAUGGCAAGUCAGAAGUGAAAGCCCGGGGCUCAACCCCGGGACUGCUUUUGAAGCUGUCAGGCUAGAUUGCAGGAGAGGUAAGUGGAAUUCCUAGUGUAGCGGUGAAAUGCGUAGAUAUUAGGAGGAACACCAGUGGCGAAGGCGGCUUACUGGACUGUAAAUGACGCUGAGGCUCGAAAGCGUGGGGAGCAAAC